rnacentral:rRNA from 1 species
GACGGAGGAUGCAAGUGUUAUCCGGAAUCACUGGGCGUAAAGCGUCUGUAGGUGGUUUAAUAAGUCAACUGUUAAAUCUUGAGGCUCAACUUCAAAAUCGCAGUCGAAACUAUUAGACUAGAGUAUAGUAGGGGUAAGGGGAAUUUCCAGUGGAGCGGUGAAAUGCGUAGAGAUUGGAAAGAACACCAAUGGCGAAAGCACUUUACUGGGCUAUCACUGACACUGAGAGACGAAAGCUAGGGGAGCGAAUGGG